rnacentral:lncRNA from 1 species
CAAACAAAAAGAAAAAAGAAAAAAGAACACAAGAAAGAAAUCACUGAGUGAAGCGAGAUAAAACAACGGUACAUGAUCCCUUUCCUAGUAUCAUAUAAAGCUUAUUUUUCGUGCUAUCCAUGUCACUUGCCAUACGUUUGACGAAGCUCCAAUUGUUUCCAGUGUGACCAAUAGCUUUAAAGCAAUUGUUUUUAUAAUUUCCAUUAUAUUGCUCUGUGCACGACAUAUAUUCAUGUUUGCAAGAAAC